GCUUCCCUGGUGAAUGAAGUGUAUGCCCUUGAGCAAUGUACAGCCUCGGAGUGCCCUUUGGAAGGGUCUUUCCCGUUGAGUGCAUUGCAGAAGUCCAGGCAGGAGGCAGGUCAAAGCACGCGGCUGUGGUGAAAUCCUGUGUGGAGAAUUGUGGUGAAAUCGAUGCGGUAAAGAAUCUGGCCUCAG